GUUAGUUUCAAAAUCUUCACCAAGGUCGGAACUAAUAGACUCACACAGAUUGCGCAUUCUGUGGUGCAACAGUCCCAAACUGCUUUCAUGCCGGACAGAAAUAUCCUUGAAGGGGUGGUAGUCCUGCAUGAAACGCUCCAUGAAAUCCAUUCCAAAAAAUUAGAUGGAGUAAUUUUUAAGGUGGAUUUCGUGAAAGCGUACGAUAAGGUUAAAUGGCCAUUUCUCCAACAGUCAUUGCGUAUGAAAGGUUUUGAUGAAGCCUGGUGCCGACAUGUUGAAUCAUUUACGCAAAAAGGUAGUGUGGGAAUUAAAGUAAAUGACGAUAUAGGUCAUUACUUCCAGACACAUAAAGGCCUAAGACAAGGAGAUCCGAUGUCCCCUAUCCUGUUUAACAUUGUGGUGGAUAUGUUAGCAAUUUUGAUAGGAAGGGCUAAGGAAAAUGGUCAAGUAGGUGGAUUGGUACCUUAUCUUGUU
rnacentral:rRNA from 1 species